GUAGGUGAACCUGCGGAAGGAUCAUUAGUGAUUGGCUUCGGCCUCAUAUCCUUUCAAACCUGUGCACCUCUUGGCUCCGGCCAAUUCAAACAUGUGUCAUGAAUGUAUAUAAACAAAAACAUAAACAAAACUUUCAACAACGGAUCUCUUGGCUCUC
rnacentral:misc_RNA from 1 species